UACGAGGGGGGCGAGCGUUGUUUGGAAUUAUUGGGCGUAAAGGGUGCGUAGGCGGUUUGGUAAGUCUCGUGUGAAAUCUCCGGGCUCAACUCGGAGCCUGCACGAGAAACUGCCGGGCUUGAGUGUGGGAGAGGUGAGUGGAAUUCCUGGUGUAGCGGUGAAAUGCGCAGAUAUCAGGAGGAACACCGGCGGCGAAGGCGGGUCUCUGGGCCAUAACUGACGCUGAGGAGCGAAAGCGUGGGGAGCGAACAGG
rnacentral:rRNA from 1 species